AUUGAACGCUGGCGGAAUGCUUUACACAUGCAAGUCGAACGGCAGCACGGACUUCGGUCUGGUGGCGAGUGGCGAACGGGUGAGUAAUGUAUCGGAACGUGCCCAGUCGUGGGGGAUAACGUAGUGAAAAUUACGCUAAUACCGCAUACGAUCUAUGGAUGAAAGCGGGGGAUCGCAAGACCUCGCGCGAUUGGAGCGGCCGAUAUCAGAUUAGGUAGUUGGUGGGGUAAAGGCGCACCAAGCCAACGAUCUGUAGCUGGUCUGAGAGGACGACCAGCCACACUGGAACUGAGACACGGUCCAGACUCCUACGGGAGGCAGCAGUGGGGAAUUUUGGACAAUGGGCGAAGGCCUGAUCCAGCCAUUCCGCGUGCAGGAUGAAGGCCCUCGGGUUGUAAACUGCUUUUGUACAGAACGAAAAGGUUUCUACUAAUACUAGGAGCUCAUGACGGUACUGUAAGAAUAAGCACCGGCUAACUACGUGCCAGCCGCCGCAGUAA
rnacentral:rRNA from 1 species